GGGGGGGGUCACAUGUCGCACUGUAUCUCAAAAACAAUUUAUGAUUAUUGCUUAAAACUUUACACACUUCUUAAUUAUAUUAAUCUAAAGAUCUGUAUACUUUUUGGUGAUGAUUCAAAAUUUUAUUUUAGAGUUAUCAAGUUUUUUGGUAAAAAAGGGGGGGGUUUCACAUGUCGCACUGUAUCUCAAAAACGAUUUAUGAUUAUUGAUUAAAACUUUACACACUUCUUAAUUAUAUUAAUCUAAAGAUCUGUAUACUUUUUGGUGAUGAUUCAAAAUUUUAUUUUAGAGUUAUUGAUUUUUUUUAUUAAAAAAGGGGGGUUUUCACAUGUCACGCCGUAUCUCAGAAACGAUUUAUGGUUAUUGCAUAAAACCUCACACACAAGACGACGGGCGUAUCAUGCACUCGUGGCACAGCUGUUUAUUUAUAUAUCAAAUACUCUAGUUUAAAUUUGUACUCAACUGAAUGCGUGCUUUUUGAAGAAGAAAAAAAAAUUUGAUUACCUUUGGUUGAAGAAAUUGAUUAUUUAAUAGUCGUCUAUUGCUUUAGAUGUUUAAACUACCUUAGGUAAGAUGUAGACGUUUAAUAGUUUAAAUUCCAUUCAAUUCAUGAACGUGAACACCUGAUAAACAAUGAUAAAGGCAUUAUGUGAUAGAAUAAAUAAGUCAAUAAAAGAAAACACUGCAUGUUUCAUCAAAAAAAAUAUUUAAUGUAAAUUCUGUUUUGCAUAGAAAUAUAAGAAAACAAAAGAGCUCAGAAAAAAAUGGUAAAAAAUCCAGAGGUCAACAUUGUUUGCUGCAAAACAACAGCUAACAAAUUUUUACUGUUACAGUGUACCACUGAUUUGUAGUAUGUGGUCCUAAAGACGAUGAGGCUAGUCGAGGUUUGGAGAUCUGUGUUCCUUUUAAAUCAAUCAGACAAAAAUGUAUAACCACCAGUGAAGAUACAUAGUAAAUGAUUCUGAUAGAUUGACUCAUAUUUUUCUCCUCUCUUCUUUGAAACUUGAAGAAAAAUUGUAAAGCAGUUCUCAUGGAAUCUUGUAGAAUUCGUUUAAUUGAAAAAAAUAUUAUUAUUGUUAUUCAUUGUUAUUCAAACAUGCAUUCAUUUAUCAUGUUUAUAUUCCUUGUUUAUGUUGUUCUUUUGAAGAAGGAUGUUAUGAGCACAAACUAAUCCAUAAUGCUCAAAACAGAUCAGCUUUCCUUUGUAUAUCAACUUGUAUAUAUAUAUUAUAAAACAUUAUAAUGAUUCAAGCAAACAUACUGUUAAUUAUUUAUUUUUUUUACAUGAUAGAGUUUUUUUUUAGCAAUUCAUGUGCAAGCAAAAAUUAAUAAUUUGCCUAGACUUGUUUUAAUUAAACAUAAACUUAAUACUAAAGUACGCUGACACUACAAAUAUUUUCAAAUACAAUCAUUCUAAUUAUUAUAUAGAAUUUUUGAUGAAAAAUUGUAUACAAACAUUGUACUAAAUAUUGCUCUUCAAAAAUUUUGUAAUGAUUAUGAAAUAAGGGAAUGACCAUUUUAUAUUUGAGUGGGAGUUGGUUGAAGGAGGAUUUUUCCGAAUUGGUCAUUAAUUUUAAUCUGUUGCAUGCCUUUUUUUAGCUCACUUGGCCCAUAGGGCCAUGUAAGCUUUUCCCAUCGCUUGGCAUCCGGUGUCUGUCUUUGUCGUCCGCUAACUUUUCAAAGAUCAUCUCCUCUGAAACUACUGUCCAAAUUAAACCAAAAUUGGCCACAAUCAUCAAUGGGAUAUCUAGUGUACUGCCUGCUGGAGUUAUUGCCAUUAAAUGACAAAUUUUACAAUUUUGUUUUUCAUUUUUGUCUCGCCUUGACAGAGUCAAAAAGCGAGACAUAGGUAUGCUGUUUCCGGCGUCUGCGGCUACGGCGGCAUCAACAAUGUAUUAGUUUGUGAUUAGGUCUAGUUCAUGGUGAACCACUAGUGGUAGAUCAAUGAUAUUUGGUCUGCAGUUGUAUUAGCAUUGAAACAUCUCAUUACCGUGGAGAUUGUUUGGCCCCGCCUUCUCAGUCAAGGUCUAUUGACUUUGAAACUUUGCUUAGUUUUCAUGUAUUAGUUUGUGAUUAGGUCAGUUUAUGGGGAACCACUAGUGGUAGGUCAAUGAUAAUUGGUAUGCAGUUGUAUAAGCAUUAGCACAUCUCAUUUCCAUGGAGAAUAUUUGGUACUUACCCCUCAGUCAUGGUCUAUUGACUUUGAAACUUUUACUUAGUUUACAUGUAUUAGUUUGUGAUUAGGUCAGUUUAAGAUGAACCACUAAUGCUAAGUCAAUGAUAUUCGGUAUGCAAAUGUAUUGGCAUUUGCAAAUUUCAUUUCCAUGGAGAUUAUGUAACCCCACCCCUAAUUAUGGUUCAUUGACUUUGAAACUUUUACAUCGUUUACAAGAUAAUGUUUGUGUUUAGGUUUGUUUAAAGGGAACGACUUAUGAAAAGUCAAUGGUAUUUGGUUUGCAGUUGUAUUAGCAUUGGCACAUCUCAUUUCCAUGGAGAUUGUUUAGCCCUGUACCUUCAGUCAUGGUUCAUUGACUUUGAAUAUUUGCAUAACUUACAUGUUAAAGUAUUGCUAUUUUAAUUUCAACAUUUGCAUUAUCAAAAUAACAAAAAGGCGAGACAUAUCUCUGUGUUAACAGUUUAUUCCCUUUUGUCUUAAAAAUUAUAAUAGAUAGAGAGAUACUUGAUAUUGAAAGAAUGAUCAGCAAGACAAGAUCUACAUAUUAGUCAACAUGGUAAAAAUCAUCAGUCCUUAUUGGAGUUAUUGCCCUUUAAUGAAGAUUUUUAUCAAUUUUUUGUGUUUACGUCUUAUAUCUGAAAACUAUAAUAGAUAGAUAGAAACUUCAAUAACAAAAGUAAUCAGCAAGACAAGAUCUACAAAUAAGUGAAUACGGUUGAAAUCAUUUGACGACCCCUUAUUGCAGUUAUUGCCGAUAUUAAAGAAACUUAAAUAAGCAACAAUGAUCAGCAAGACAUAUGAUUUGGUAAGAUAAGUCUAUUGGCAGUAAUAAGCAGUUCACUCCUUAUUGGAAUUAUUGUUCUUUAAUGGCGAUGUUUACCAAUUUUUAUUGUUUUGCUGAUUAUCUUGAAAGCUAUUAUAGAUAGAUGAUAACCACUUAAUAUAGCAAAAUUGAUUAACAAGACAAGAGAUUUUUGUCCUGAAUUCUAUUAUAGUCUACAAUGUUGGAGAGUGUCCAUUGUGAAAGAUGCACAUAGACCCAGGUGAGCGACACAGCCUCUUUAGAGUCUCUAGUUUUUUUCCCACAGCUCUGCUUUGCCAAAAUUUUUUUUAACUUUUGUACACAUAUGUAUACUCAACUAUUCUGCAUUUAAUGUUGCAGAAUACAGAGUAUUCAUUUUUAUCCUGUUUUGUGCAAAUUCAUUUAUUUUCAGUUCUUUCAAGGCCAAAUUAAUCAUUUUCAAUAUCAUCCUGCGCCCACCCCCUUGUAUCAACUAUCCUGCGUUUUAUGUUGCAGAAUAUUAAUUUUUAUCCUGUCUUGUGCAAAGUCAUUUAUAUGAAGUUCUUACCAGACCAAAUUAUUCAUUUUUAAAAUCAAAUUGUCGUCCCCUGAAAAGAAGAAUAUAUAUUUGUAACUAUCAAAUCAAUAUACCCAGAUACAUAUUUACUUUUUACUUAAUAAAAACUUAAAAUGAUAACACUACUUUCAAAUUGUUGAAAUGGCUGUAUUUUUCAGAUGAUGCAAUAAAAGAUUAUGAAUUGUUAAAAGAAAGUUGCUUUUGUUAAGGGUUUGUGUUUUGGAUCAUUUCUAAUUAAAAUUUGUUCCAAUUAUAAGAAUUUUUUAAUGUCUAUCUAAUUAAAGUUUUGAAAAAUUCAAA